UCAGAUUGAACGCUGGCGGCAGGCCUAACACAUGCAAGUCGAACGGUAACAGGAAGCAGCUUGCUGCUUCGCUGACGAGUGGCGGACGGGUGAGUAAUGUCUGGGAAACUGCCUGAUGGAGGGGGAUAACUACUGGAAACGGUAGCUAAUACCGCAUAACGUCGCAAGACCAAAGAGGGGGACCUUCGGGCCUCUUGCCAUCGGAUGUGCCCAGAUGGGAUUAGCUAGUAGGUGGGGUAACGGCUCACCUAGGCGACGAUCCCUAGCUGGUCUGAGAGGAUGACCAGCCA
rnacentral:rRNA from 3 species